rnacentral:misc_RNA from 1 species
CCUUUUGGACUCUCUAUGCUUGGUAUGGACUGGGGGGUAACUUAACUCCAGCAUGUUAUGCAUAGACAGUUUAUGAGGUGAGCGGAUGAGGUGAGCUAAUGCAUGCAUGAGUUGUGGAAAUGUGGUGAGCUUNUGCAUGCAUGAGUUGUGGAAAUGUAGUGAACGGAUGUAUGCAUGAGUUGUGGAAAUGUAGUGAACGGAUGUAUGCAUGAGUUGUGGAAAUGUAGUGAGCGGAUGUAUGCAUUAGUUUGUGUUAAUGUGGUGAGCGGAUGAGGUGAGCAGAUGUAUGCAUGAGUUUUGCAAAAGUCAAAAGUCGGAUGGCAUGGUGGGAUUCGAAUCGACGACAGAGUUGGGAAUCGGGGUCGGAGCUCGACCUUUCUAGAUUUCUUGUUUCCCACGGGUAUAAGUUCGAUUUAAUUAGUAUUUNUAAUAAUUGCAGGGUAGUGCAAUUAUCUAAUAAUUGCAGGGUAGUGCAAUUAGAGUUAGUUUGUAAUGUUUUCGGUUUUUAGUACUAAUAAAGUACGCUACCCCACUUUCGCUAGCGUACUUUGAUUUUCGUUUUCAUACUGGUAAGUUGGCUUCAAACUGGUAAAGUGCGUGGGGUAGCGUACACGUUCAGGGAUGGACUGGGGGAGUCUAGGCCUCUGUACCAGCCGCGGUUGACAUUUUCCACAAGUCCUUUCGCCCGCCGACUGGUUCUGAGUGCAUGCAUGCAUCAAUAAGNUCAGAAAUUAGAGGUACGGCUGGCUGGUAUGCUUAGACUAGUGCUGGGGACCAUGUUAAGUAAGUACUAAGAGUGCAUUGUGUGCACGCUGGCAAGUCCAAGUUUACCAGCAGAAAUGUUUGUGCGCUGAGGGCAGAUUGGCUUAUAGGGGCAGUUCAACCUUACUAAC